UCUGAUAAAAGAAUUGUAGGAGAAGGUGUUAAUUAGCCUUUCUCUGCAUGAUCUUCUUCCACUUGCAUUCUCUGUGAGCCUCAAAAACAAACUUUCAUUUUCCAACACCACUUGAAUGUCAUUUCCUAUAAACACCAAAGUGUGAGGCUCUACCUCGCUGUGCAACCUUCAGGGCAUCAUUUCCAUCAGGGAUUUUGACCCAUAUUUCCACAGGAAGGGCAGCUGAGCUGCCAAGACCUUCACACUAAACCAUCACUUGCAUUGAGGGGCGAUGGCUUUCUUUGUAAGUGGAAAAAGAAGACAAACAACAAGAAAAAAGUAAAGAAACCCACACAAACUUAUAAAAAUAGAACUAUACCCUGGCCUUGAACAGGCUCCCAAGGCAGCUUACAAGAAGUUAAACAUGUCGUCAGCUAGGGUGAAAUCUAUAUUUAUUAAAGUCGUGGAAGGAAAAACUGAAGCAUUUAGGGCUUUCAGAAAGAAGAUGACUAAUUGGGACUUAGGAUGCUAGAGGCAUAGGGAGCCUGCUGUGACCUUGCUCCCAAAAACGUAGGAGGACUAAGACCCCCCAAGACCCUGGACA